rnacentral:rRNA from 1 species
AGCAGCCGCGGUAAUUCCAGCUCCAAUAGCGUAUAUUAAAGUUGUUGCAGUUAAAAGCUCGUAGUUGAACUUCGGGAUCAGUACGCUGGUCAUGCCUUUGGUAUGCACUGGUGUCACUGGUUUCUCCCUUCUGAAGAACCGUGAUGUCAUUAAUUUGGUGUCGCGGGGAAUCAGGACUGUUACUUUGAAAAAUUAGAGUGUUUAAAGCAGGCUCACGCUUGAAUACAUUAGCAUGGAAUAAUGAAAUAGGACGUUUGACCCUAUUUUGUUGGUUUCUAGGAUCGACGUAAUGAUUAAUAGGGAUAGUUGGGGCAUUAGUAUUCAAUUGUCAGAGGUGAAAUUCUUGGAUUUAUUGAAGACUAACUACUGCGAAAGCAUUUGCCAAGGAUGUUUCAUUAACCAAGAACGAAAGUUAGGGAUCGAAGACGAUCAGAUACCGUCGUAGUCUUAACCAUAAACUAUGCCGACUAGGGAUCGGAUGAUG